CCUACGGGAGGCAGCAGUGAGGAAUAUUGGACAAUGGACGAAAGUCUGAACCAGCCAAGUAGCGUGAGGGAUGAAGGCCCUCUGGAUUGUAAGCUUCUUUUAUAGAGGAGUAAAACACGGCACGUGUGCCUUUUUGCAUGUACUUUUUGAAUCCGGAUCGGCUAACUCCGUGCCAGCAGCCGCGGUAAUCCGGAGGUGCCGAGCGUUAGCCGGAUUUAUUGGGGUUAAAGGGAGCGUAGAUGGAUUGUCAAGUCAGUUGUGAAAGUUCGCGGCUCAACCGUGAAAUUGCAUUUGAUACUGGCAGGCUGGAGUACAGUUGAGGUAGGCGGAAUUCGUGGUGUAGCGGUGAAAUGCUUAGAUAUUACGAAGAACCCCGAUGGCGAAGGCAGCUUACUAAACUGUGACUGACAUUGAUGCUCGAAAGUGUGGGGAUCAAACAGGAUUAGAUACCCCAGUAGUC
rnacentral:rRNA from 1 species